GGGUCAGAUGGGAUAUGUGGAAUAAAUUCAUUCCUGUGAAAUUUUUGAGGCCCUGUCACAGAGUGCCCAGAGAGGUUGUGGCUUCUCCAUCCCUGGCAGUGCCCAAGGCCAGGUUGGACACUGGGGCUUGGAGCACCUGGGACAGUGGGAGGUGUCCCUGCCAUGGCAGGGGUGGCACUGGGUGGCUUUAAGGUCCCUUCCAACCCAAACCAUUCCAUGAUUUGAUGAUUCCAUGAGUUCAGCCCAGUGGUAGAAGUGAGGUUAGUGUGGUCACCAAGGUGAGCCCAAUGUGGUCACCAAGGUGAGCUCAAUGUGGUCACCAAGGUGAGCUCAAUGUGGCCACCAAGGUGAGGUUGUUGUGGCCACCAAGGUGAGGUUGUUGUGGUCACCAAGGUGAGCCCAAUGUGGUCACCAAGGUGAGGUUGUUGUGGCCACCAAGGUGAGCUCAGUGUGGUCACCAAGGUGAACUCAAUGUGGCCACCAAGGUGAGCCCAAUGUGGUCACCAAGGUGAGCUCAAUGUGGCCACCAAGGUGAGGUUGUUGUGGUCACCAAGGUGAGCUCAAUAUGGUCACCAAGCUGAGGUUGUUGUGGCCACCAAGCUGAGGUUGUUGUGGCCACCAAGGUGGGCCCAAUGUGGCCACCAAGGUGAGGUUGUUGUGGUCCCCACAUUGCCAGGCCUGUGGGACACCUCCUUUCUGCCCCAGCCCUUUCAGCCCCCAGGACUGAAACCCACCCACCCUGGAAGCUCAAAAACCAGGGAUUCACAGGAACAGGGAGCUGGAAACUCUGAGACCCUAAAUCAAACAUUUCUGUGCCUCUCCUUUGUCUCCACUCAUGCUAAAGGUGAGAAUUUGGCUCUCCCUGGUGUGAACAGGAUGAGGAAAUGCAGAACUGGCCACCACCACUUUUCGCCGUGUCCUUACUGACACUUUUCUGCAAUUUCUCAGUGUUUCCCAUGUUUUUAUUGCCAGCAACCAAAUUUUGGGGUCCAACCUCUCUGGGUAUGUCCAGCACUGCAAAGGAAAGGAAAAGCCAAGUUCGUUAUCCCUGGCAAUUAAUCUGUUUAAUUACUCACUGUGGGUUUCAGUGUAUUCACUCACCAGAAACCACACUUUACUCAAAUAUUUGGUUUUGUAGCCAUCACUAAGGAUGGCAAAGUUUUUCAAGGCUGUGAAAAUGCUCUCAUGUCUUUCCUCUUAUAUUUUAAGAGCACAUAACAGGCAGAAAAAAAGAUAUUUGGAUAAAACAUUUCCCUCAUGCCCAUCUCCAAAUUAGAGUGCAAAAAUAUCUAUUUUUAUAUGGCUAUAAUAUAUACAUUUAUAAAAUUUUAUCAUCCUGGGUGCUGUAUGGAAUCAGAAAAUUAGAAUUCUUGUGCUUCUGCUCUGGAGCUGCAGUAAGCAGAGUGCUUUAGGUACCUCACCCUCCCAAAAUUCAGCUCCUGGCUGUCCUUACUCUCAGCUUGGGUGCUCCUUUCGCAAGACACAGCUCAAACAUCUUCGACAUAAAUUUUGCUGGCUCUGAGGACAAAUAUUUCCCUCUCCAACGACAUUUAAAGUCAUUUAAGAGUUCCUGCUGGCUCCCAGGGCAUUGAGAGGAGCUGUAAUGCAGGGAGAAGAGGGUGCAGAGAGCAUCCCUGCUGGGAAGGGUUUGAUUUGUACAAAUUCUCCACCGGGAAUGGAGAGAAAUCCUCUCCUCCAAACAGCCUUUGCCAAAACGUCCCCAAUUUCCUGAGCUCUUCAAACAUUCGCUGCUGCUUCCUGGGUGCCCUUUUCCGUGGCUGUGGUUGAAAUUCAGGGAGGAGUGGAUGCGUUUUCUGUCCUCAGAGCAAAUCUCUGCCCUGUUUUCCUGCCUCGUUCCAUUUCCCGUUGGGUUUUUGUUCUCCUCACUGGGUCAGUCCCAACCACUGGGCUUUUUUCUCCUUGUCCUUCCAGGGUUGCAUCCCCACAGUUACUUGUAUUUAUGUCUGUAAAUAGAUUUCCAAAGCUUCCUAGCCAAAAUAUUUAGUGCUUGUAAUUACUCUGCAUUUUUCUGGUUUUUGGUUUUUUUUUUUUUUCUGUGUUUUUAAUGAACUUACCUUUGUGUUUGCUGAAAUACUGUAGUGAGACUUAUUUCUUUUCCAAAUUAGUUAUUUUUAGGCUUCAAGAGGAACUACAUUUUAUUCACUUUUGUAAACAGUUAUAGCAUGGUCUCUAUCCAACAUCCUUCACUUUUUUGUGGUAGGGGAGAAACAAACGUGCAAAAAAAAAAAAAAAAAUCUGUGGGUUAUUUGUGGUAUUUGGGGUUGGACAAUCCCGGCUCUUUUUAAAACCAAAAUUUCAGUGUGAGGUGGUGAGGCUGAGGGGGGACACAGCCCCAUCAGAGUGGCACCAAAGGGAAUUUGUUCAGCAUUUUCUGGCCAUGUUUACAAAACAUUUUCCCUUUCACACUGAACUUUUCCUGAAGGGGAAACCAUCAGCUUGGGGAUUUUUCAGAGGGAUUGAUUACCGGGGACUUU